rnacentral:tRNA from 2 species
GGAGGUUGUCCGGCACGGACGAGGAAAGCGUCUUGAAAACGCUUGCGGUUAAAACCCGUCAAGAGUUCGAUUCUCUUAGCCUCCG